GCAACGAACCAAACCUUGCGUGCAUUCCAGGCAGACUACUCAGAAGGUGGAGGAUGUAUGAAGAUCGAAACAUGAAAUGACGGCUUGAAAUGAACAUUUUAGUGUGAAAUAAUGUGAAUUUGUUCAUAGUUGACUGUAUAAAUGUACCAAGCGUGUUAUAGGAAGUGAAAAUUUAUUUUGGGGAGAAGUCUUAUAGAAGAAAAUUUGGAAAAUGGGAGCAGUUUUGAAAAUCCAAUAUGGCGUCGGGUUGGAUCGAUGACGAUGGACGUGGCGUCUGUUGUAGAAUGGGGACCUUACCGAAGUUAUCGCUGUAUUUUCAAAGAAAUUAUGAAUGGUUUGGAAAAUAAUGCUGUUAUUUUGGAAAGUCUUUUGUCGUUGUGGUAAAGUAUCGAGAACAAAGUAUGAAAUAGAUUUAUACUUUGGUGUUUGGGGCCAAUUUUUCUCGAAAGAUCGGGGGUUCGUUCUUGAAAUGUUGAAUACUUUUAUUUCACAAAUUUACAUAGCGAGUAAAUCGGAGACGUUUUGCAUUCGUAAUUGUCUGUGUGAAAACUUGAAAGCGAGAAGGUCGAUUUAGCUGUAAGAUUUUUGUUCAAAUAAAAAAAAUAGGUUUAAGCAAUUUUAUAUAUUUGUGUGGUUAUUGUUGAUUACAAAUUAAGACAAUGUUUAAAUGUUUGUCUUGCUUUCUAUUCCAUAUUAGCUAUCCUUGUGACCGAAACAAGUCGCCUGCAUUUUACGAUCUCCCAGGUGUCUAUGAUCAUAGGACUACACAAGUCUGUUAUGAGUCGUUCUUUCAAGUGGCCGACGAGCAUAUUAUCGUUUCCCGACCAAGAGUAGCGUCACCCCUUUGCUGAUCUGGCGAAUCGAUAGAUUGGUUUGUCCCGCCGGACAGAAUUUGUGCAUAUCCGAAGUCCAUCAGUAAUCCUGUUGCCAUGUCCCGAUGAACUGCAAUGUUGCCAGUUUCUGCUACAAGUUAUUUGCAUCAAGAUUUACAGUCCGACCUCUCCACAGUCGAUGUCCCCACGAUUCCGCAGUUCCAGUAUUAGUCGAUACUUCUAUGAAAAUUGUGGUUUGGUUUUUUCAAAAUAUCGAGAAAUUUGAUAUUAAUUGACCAUGCCUAAAGGAAAAAUAAUUUAAAUGUGCUAAAAGCAUCUACAUUUAUCUAAUAUUUUUUUUAAAAAAGUAACAAUGAUCACUGAUCUGAAUUUUUUCACUUUGUUACAUGUACAGUAGUAUAUCUUGCAUGUUCAGUAUGCAACGUUUUCUCGUUUCUAGAUGUUGAAAAUGAGCAGGCUAAGUGGAUAAUUGGCACAAUACCCGAGUUGGGAGGUCUUGAGUAACAAAAUGAAACAUCCACAUUUUAGUAGACCUUGAUCGUGGAGCACACAUCUCUUCCCAUUUGCCGAAAUGCAGAAACCCUAAACUGGUCCUGAAAAAAGCAUGUCCUACCUAAAGCUCCACUGCUGUAUUGCCAUACGUCAUUUUACCAGCCUGACUAAUCCAUGCAACCACAGUAAAAUUUACGUCGACAUAGUUUCCUGCAGAUUCUGCACUGGUGAAAAUUUCCUGUUCGUCCUGUCCCAACAAAAUUUGGUGGUUUGGUGUUUUUGUUUUGUAUUUUAUGAAAUGUGCUGGAUAAUUUUGUCGAGUAGAUUUAUUAAACAAUUUGGUUCAGAAUAAGGUAAAAACUUGUUGGUUAAACCAAAAUCAUUGGCCUUAUACAUAUAUAAUUGUCUAGACUGAAGUUAGCAUUGUACAUGUAUUUUCUUGUUUAUAGCAAGUGCAUUUGAAAGGAACAUUAAAAGUUUACAUAGGUUGCAGUUGAGAGAUGACUGUCAAUAUUUUGGAGGUCUUCAGAAACUUCAACUGACCAUAUUUCAAACCAGUCUCCAUUGACACAAGUUUGUUGAAAACGAGGCCAUUCUCCGCUAUUCCGCGGUUGUUGCAGGAUUGUCCAGGAACCAUACUUGUGGUAUUUGUUGAAUGUUGUAUACAUAGUUUAUAACAAGUUGAGCAUGCAAUGUUGAUUUUGAGCGAAAUUAACCCAAAAAAAAUUUCUAAAAUGCAUUGUGCAUUCAUUUUACUUCAUAAAAUAAUGCCUGUUAUACUGUGACAUUUUGGUAUAUUUUGUAAAUUUUACUCUGCAGUAAAAUUCCUGUGACGAGGGGAAAAAUUGAGAUAUUGGCAAGUAAAUGUCUCCCCUUUGCUGCCAUUUAUCGGGCAUGUUAUCGGGCACAGAAAAUGGACAAACAUAACGUACCACUUGACUUCCUUCCUUGGCUUCUGAUCGACUACAUUAGCUAUGCUGUUGUUGGGAGAUCUAUCUAUACACCAUUGAUUUCGAUUAAAACACCAACCGACUGGUAAAAAAAGGAUGAAGUUUCAGAAGGUAGUUGCUUGUUACAGGUAUAACCAAAGUUAUCCAGAGAAGGCGAUUUGAGGUAAUACUUACCUUUUAAAUAAGUAUCUUUGGAAAGUUUGUGUUUUAAGUGCAAUAGAUUAUUUUUACAACAAUAUAUAUGUAUGAGAAAUAACUUGUGUGCGAGAACGAAGUUGUUGGAUGUCCUAAUAUGUAGCUAUACAUAUAUAUACAGGUAAUCGGUUCUCAGAUUUGUACAGGCAGUCUUGUUGGUGAAUGUUUUUGGUUUUGGACAGAGCUGUUAAAAUUCUAUUCCAAUUUCUCCUGUAAAAACACUUGACAAAUUGGAAUUUGAUAAUUUUGGCAUCAAAAUCUUUGACGAUACAAUACUAGUGUUCUAGUGAACCUGUACAAACCUUGAUAAUUAAAUAUUUGGGAGUAUUGCGGAAUAUUAUAAAGACAUUGAUGCAUAUUUUUUUUUAUCUUUUGUAAAGUGCAGUGAAUGGUUACACAAUGGUGGAUGAUCAUGCAACAAAUCUUUUUGACUAUUUUUGCCCCCUCUUCCAUCCAUUUUAUAGCAAAUUUUGACUGAUCGAAUCCAGAUGGCUGUGCAUACGGUGACUGAAAUGCUUUCCUUGGCUAGACACCAUCUGCACUAAUAAAACUAGAUAAAAGGCUGUUGGGAAGACAAUUCUGGCCAGUGAUGGACCUUUCUUGGAAAACUGUUUGAAUCAUAUAUCUUUAUCAAAAUUCAAAUGGCGACUACAACUCUUACAUGUCCGAUGCCAGUCAAGUGACUUCAGAAUUUCAGACUAGCUCCUAAUGGUGGGUACAUAUUUGUAAUUGUGUGGUUGUCAAAAGGUAGUGUAUAGUUUGAAGAAACCAAAAUUUCCGAUUAGAAUGAGCUGAAUAGCAUGAUGAAGCGAAUUUCCAACCUUGCCAUUUGUAAAUGUCGGUAGCACUGCUGUUCUCGGUGCUUAACAGUACUAUCCAUUUAAAAAAUUCCAGCUUAAAUGGUGCGUGAAAGUAUGUUGUAAUUUGUCACCAGAAUUGCAAAUUGCGUAAUUUGUGAAAUUACAUACGAAGAGUGUUUUAAGAAGUUCACACAUUUUUUUAUUGACCAUGAUGCCCCAGUAAAAUUCUAGCAUUACAAGGGCACAUUCCAUUGUAUACCACACUGGCGACAACUAAUGAUUCAAUACCCCUGAAAAAAGGCGGUGUUUCCUCCAAUUUUGACAUAGAAACGAAUUGAAAUAAGAUAAGUGAAGUAUGUUAAUGAGAAAAGAUUUUUAUAAUGAAAUGCACAAUUACCUUGACCCCAGUUUGAAUGCUUAAAUAUAAAAUUACAUUUUUUUCGUGGAUGCAUGGUUUCCAUUUUUGUGAAGCUUCUAGUUUUAGAUCAUCUGGGAACCUGUAUGAAGCUGCAGAUCUUGCACAAACAUGCAAAUAUUGAAUUAGGAAAAAAAAACUGAAAACCAAUCGCCUGCCAUGAAAUCUGGUGAGCAAAAACCUGGUGCAAUGAAUGACGAGAGGUAACGGGGAAAAACUCCCAGUCCAGUUUCACAAAAGAUCUAAGCCAUUUUGAUGAUAACCAUAAUUUUCACAAAAGCGCUACAAACCAAACAUGAUAUAGGAAUAAGGUGGGGGUUCUGAAAAUGUCUAACCAGUGAAAACAUGCACAAUUCUAUUCGGUGAGUUUUAUGAAGUCGAUUUUAGAUUUUUUGUGAAACUGACUGGAAACUUUUUGGAAUGAAUUGCUUUUUCAAUAUCCAAAAUUUCUGAAAGAUAUUUGUAUACUAAUUAAUUGAUUUUCUGUUGAAAUUGUUUUACCUGAAUUGUUGAGAAAUUUACGUAAACCUAUAUAAAAAGCUAAAAAAUGAAGACUGUAUACUUACCUUAUUCACGUUGCCUUGGGGAAAAUGUACAAUCAAUUCAUAACAGGUCCAACUUGAAGGAUGAAUUACAAACCUUCACAAUUGAUAUGAACCUUCCAAUCCACAAGCCAGAGUUUGAGGUUUGAACCUUGUCAAGCAAGAGUUUUGAAGUUUGAAAGUCAUCUCGAGUUUGAAGUUUGAAAACUCCCAACCCAUCCAGCAAGAGUUUGAGGUUUGAACCUAGUCAAGCAAGAGUUUGAGGUUUGAACACUCCUAACCAAUCGAGGAAGAGUUUCUGGUAUGAACAACAUUUGCUAUCAAGUAAGAGUUUGAGGUAAGACCAAAGAGCUAUUAAAAAAAAGAUCUGUUGAUUUAAUCUAAAAAUACCCAGAUUUGAACUUGUAUAGCAAUACAUUGUACUUAAUGUGUAAGUUUGAAAGCCAUCUAGAGUUUGAAGUUUGAAAACUCCCAACCCAUCCAGCAAGAGUUUGAGGUUUAAACCUAGUCAAGCAAGAGUUUUGAGGUUUGAACACUCCUAACCAAUCGAGCAAGAGUUUCUGGUAUGAACAACCUUUACUAUCAAGUAAGAGUUUGAGGUAAGACCAAAGAGCUAUUAAAAAGAUCUUGAUUUAAUGUAAAAAUACCCAGAUUUAAUCUUGUAUAGCAAUACAUUGUACUUAAUGAAGUGCUAUUUAAUUUCAUACAUCCAGUUGCAUGUAUGUCAUCAAAAAGUGUAAAAUCUAACAAUGAUACAAAAUUACAACCAAACAAGAGACAAGUGUUAAUUAGUGAAUCAGAUUUUCAGUAAGUUGAUAAUCUGACUGUAACCAACACGGCUAAAUACAUUUGAACGGAGAGUAAUGGUACAUCAGUAAAGACGAUACUUAUCUAUGAAAUACAACACCAGCGUGUGCCAGUGUAAACAACACUACUGUGAAUCGAUUUAACAAUGCUGUUGAAGGUAUUUGCACGACAGUACCAAUGGUGCUGAAGGUAAUAAUAGUAAAACAAAUUAACAUUGCCAAAGUAACUGGGAAAACUCGCAACACGAUGGAUGCUCAUUAUUACGAUAAUGGUGAAACUGGGCCGACUAAUUAUAAUUGUUCAACUGGACAAUAUUAAAACUGAGAGCAGACACUACAUUGGGAAAUUGUACAAGAGGGUAGACAACCAAGGGCAAUGGUACAAGAGGUCGGGCAUCGCUGAGCACAAUGGUACAACUGGUCGGGCAUCACUGAGCGCAAUGGUACAACAGGAGAGACGACUUGGGGCAAUGGUACAACAGCAUAGAUGCAACUGAGUUAUGGUACAACAGCACGGACACUACCGAGCUAUCGGUAAGACAUGGAGACACAACCGUCGGUAAUCUUUCCACCUGACUGAUGAAACUGAGGUUUAUGGUACUACAGGACAGACACUACUGAGGUUUACGACAUAACACGACCGGCACUACUGAGGGUAAUGGUACAACAUGACAAACCCUAUUGAGGGUAAUGGUACAACAGGACACACUACUGGGUGUUUGGUCCAACAAGACCGACACUACUGAGGUUUUUGGUACAACAGGACGGACACUACUGAGGUCUUGGUACAACAGCACGAACACUACUGAGGGUAUUGGUACAACAGGACAGACACUACUGAGGGUAAUGGUACAACAGGACAGACACUACUGAGGGUAUUGGUACAACAGGACAGACACUACGGAGGGAAAUUGGUACAACAGGACACUACUGAAAGUAAUUGUACAACUAGGCAUGCACUAUUCAAGUUAUUGGUAAGUCAUCGGAUACACCACCAAAGGUAAUCUUUCCAAGUGACAGAUGAGGCCAGAGGGGGAGAUGAUACAACAGGAAAGACAACUGAGAGUAACUACAUCUGGGGAGACACCACUAAGGUAAUGGUCUUUCCACAGGACAGAUGAAACUGAGGUUUAUAGUAAUACAGACCCUACUGAGGGAAAUGGUACAACAGGACAGACACUACUGAGGGUAAUGGUACAACAGGACAGACACUACUGAGGGAAAUGGUACAACAGAACAGACACUACUGAGGGUAAUGGUACAACAGGACAGACACUUCUGAGGGUAAUGGUACAACAGAACAGGCUACUGAAGGUAAUGGUACAACUGGACAGAUACUUCUGAGGGUAAUGGUACAACAGAACAGACACUACUGAGGGUUAUGGUACAACUGGACAUACACUACUGAAGGAAAUGGUACAACAGGACAAACACUUCUGAGGGAAAUGGUACAACUGGACAGACACUUCUGAGGCUGAUGCUACAACAGAACAGACACUACUGAGGGUAAUGUUACAACAGAACAGACACUUCUGAGGGUAAUGGUACAACUGGACAGACACUUCUGAGGGUAAUGGUACAACAGAACAGACACUACUGAGGGUAAUGGUACUACAGGACAGGCACUUCUGUGGGUUAUGGUACAACAGGACAGGCACAACUGAUGGUAAUUGUACAACAGGACA